rnacentral:rRNA from 1 species
AUUGAACGCUGGCGGCAGGCUUAACACAUGCAAGUCGAGCGGAGAUGAGGUGCUUGCACCUUAUCUUAGCGGCGGACGGGUGAGUAAUGCUUAGGAAUCUGCCUAUUAGUGGGGGACAACAUUCCGAAAGGAAUGCUAAUACCGCAUACGCCCUACGGGGGAAAGCAGGGGGUCUUCGGACCUUGCGCUAAUAGAUGAGCCUAAGUCGGAUUAGCUAGUUGGUGGGGUAAAGGCCUACCAAGGCGACGAUCUGUAGCGGGUCUGAGAGGAUGAUCCGCCACACUGGGACUGAGACACGGCCCAGACUCCUACGGGAGGCAGCAGUGGGGAAUAUUGGACAAUGGGCGGAAGCCUGAUCCAGCCAUGCCGCGUGUGUGAAGAAGGCCUUUUGGUUGUAAAGCACUUUAAGCGAGGAGGAGGCUACCUGGAUUAAUACUCUAGGAUAGUGGACGUUACUCGCAGAAUAAGCACCGGCUAACUCUGUGCCAGCAGCCGCGGUAA